CUGAGCAAAGCCUGAGCAUCUGUACAUUUUGUCAAGAUGUCAUCUCUUUUUCCUGUACCGGCUGUACGUUUUGUAAGAAACACUUAAGAACAAAUUAUCAGUUUGGUAAAGUCUAAGCUUCUUUGUUGCUACCCAAUGUACACAUGGAUUUGAUGCAGCCAGCUGGUAAAGGGUGUUCCUACUGCUGUGUUUUCGUCAAAUGAAGAAACACAAACAACUGAAGUUUAUCGUGUAUGUUCGCGUAGUCCGUGUCCGAUGUGGCACGUUGUUGCAGCCUAUGUUGGUGAAAGAUCUUUCUACAUCAAGUUCAAUUGGCCGUUCCUUGGUGCUGAUGUUGUGUCACUGAAGUUGCAUCAUAUUUUGUUAAAUUCUCAUCGUGACUAUUGCAGUUUACCGUUUAUAAGUUCAGAAGCAAAAAAAAAAUUUGGGAUGCUUAUGUGAACAAAUAAUAAACAUGUUUCCGGGAUUGGGAAAGGAAAGUGGAGGAUGUUGGAGGGGGGAGGGAGGAUAUUUCAAGUUUGGAUAAAAAUUCAGUUAAUCUAUAACCCUACGAAUGUUGCCCUACCAAUUAAUCUCCAAACCCCACAAACAUAUACCUUCCAAUCCUUCAAACCCCGAAAACAUACACCUACUAA